rnacentral:rRNA from 1 species
GAUGAACGCUGGCGGCGUGCCUAAUACAUGCAAGUCGAGCGAACGGACGAGAAGCUUGCUUCUCUGAUGUUAGCGGCGGACGGGUGAGUAACACGUGGAUAACCUACCUAUAAGACUGGGAUAACUUCGGGAAACCGGAGCUAAUACCGGAUAAUAUUUUGAACCGCAUGGUUCAAAAGUGAAAGACGGUCUUGCUGUCACUUAUAGAUGGAUCCGCGCUGCAUUAGCUAGUUGGUAAGGUAACGGCUUACCAAGGCAACGAUGCAUAGCCGACCUGAGAGGGUGAUCGGCCACACUGGAACUGAGACACGGUCCAGACUCCUACGGGAGGCAGCAGUAGGGAAUCUUCCGCAAUGGGCGAAAGCCUGACGGAGCAACGCCGCGUGAGUGAUGAAGGUCUUCGGAUCGUAAAACUCUGUUAUUAGGGAAGAACAUAUGUGUAAGUAACUGUGCACAUCUUGACGGUACCUAAUCAGAAAGCCACGGCUAACUACGUGCCAGCAGCCGCGGUAAUACGUAGGUGGCAAGCGUUAUCCGGAAUUAUUGGGCGUAAAGCGCGCGUAGGCGGUUUUUUAAGUCUGAUGUGAAAGCCCACGGCUCAACCGUGGAGGGUCAUUGGAAACUGGAAAACUUGAGUGCAGAAGAGGAAAGUGGAAUUCCAUGUGUAGCGGUGAAAUGCGCAGAGAUAUGGAGGAACACCAGUGGCGAAGGCGACUUUCUGGUCUGUAACUGACGCUGAUGUGCGAAAGCGUGGGGAUCAAACAGGAUUAGAUACCCUGGUAGUCCACGCCGUAAACGAUGAGUGCUAAGUGUUAGGGGGUUUCCGCCCCUUAGUGCUGCAGCUAACGCAUUAAGCACUCCGCCUGGGGAGUACGACCGCAAGGUUGAAACUCAAAGGAAUUGACGGGGACCCGCACAAGCGGUGGAGCAUGUGGUUUAAUUCGAAGCAACGCGAAGAACCUUACCAAAUCUUGACAUCCUUUGACAACUCUAGAGAUAGAGCCUUCCCCUUCGGGGGACAAAGUGAUAGGUGGUGCAUGGUUGUCGUCAGCUCGUGUCGUGAGAUGUUGGGUUAAGUCCCGCAACGAGCGCAACCCUUAAGCUUAGUUGCCAUCAUUAAGUUGGGCACUCUAAGUUGACUGCCGGUGACAAACCGGAGGAAGGUGGGGAUGACGUCAAAUCAUCAUGCCCCUUAUGAUUUGGGCUACACACGUGCUACAAUGGACAAUACAAAGGGCAGCGAAACCGCGAGGUCAAGCAAAUCCCAUAAAGUUGUUCUCAGUUCGGAUUGUAGUCUGCAACUCGACUACAUGAAGCUGGAAUCACUAGUAAUCGUAGAUCAGUAUGCUACGGUGAAUACGUUCCCGGGUCU